UACAGAGGUCCCAAGCGUUGUUCGGAUUCACUGGGCGUAAAGGGUGCGUAGGUGGUCGGGUAAGUCUGAUGUGAAAUCUCUGGGCUCAACCCAGAAAUGGCAUUGGAUACUAUUCGGCUAGAGGAGUGGAGGGGGGACGUGGAAUACUUGGUGUAGCAGUGAAAUGCGUAGAUAUCAAGUGGAACACCAGUGGCGAAGGCGAGUCCCUGGACACUUCCUGACACUGAGGCACGAAAGCUAGGGGAGCAAACAGG
rnacentral:rRNA from 1 species